rnacentral:lncRNA from 1 species
AUGCACUGGCAGCAUGCUCACGCAGUGUGGGGGGUUGUGCACUGGCAGCACGCUCAGCGCAGCGUUUGUGUAGGCAGUGUGCACGUGGCGGGUGUGCACUGGCAGCGUACUCAGUGUUUGGAGGCAGUGCACUGGCAGUCAGUGCACUGGCAGUGUGCUCAGUGCAGCGUGAGGCAGUGUCCAGGCAGCAUGCUGGCAGUGUGCAUGGGACAGUACACAGGCAGGGUGCUCAGUGCAGCGCAACAGGCAGCGUGGGGCACUGCACAGCAGUGCACGGGCAGUGUGCACGGGGCAGCACAGAGGCAGUGUGCUCAGUGCGGUGCAAGCAGGCAGCACACUCACGGGGUAGGCAGUGGGCAGGCAGCACACAGCCAGCGUGCUGGCAGUGCCCAUGGGCUGCUGUGCUCAGAGGGUACCUGGGAAGUGCAGUGUGCACUGGCAGGGCAGUGCGUGGCCCCCGCACCACGCACGCCGCACGCAGCAAACGACCCAGUUCCUCAGCCGUCCCCUUGGGCCCUCUCCAGGGCAGCACAGCCCAGGUCAUGCGCCGUCCCCGUCACACGCAGGAACGCUCUCGCGGUGCUCACCCGACCGUGCUCACCCGACUCGCAGCCGAGCGGUGCCCCUGGGAGACGGGCGCCCCUGUGCUGCGUCCCCAGAGCAGUGUGCUCUGCGGCGGCUCCCACUCAGCCCUGCUGCUUGAGGGCACGGUGGUGCCCAUGGGGGGCUCCGAGACAACCCCCCUCCCCCCGGCACCUGGCUUGGAGAUGCUGCCAGUGCCACGUGCACUGCAUCCCAGUGCCUCCCCGCUGCAGGCCCGGCCUCUGGCUCCUCCGCCCGGUGCACAGCCUCUCCCGGUGCUGGGCCCCCCAGACACAGCGGGUGCUGGCAGAAAGGACUGUUUCCCGUGACGCUGGCUGGCUUCUGGGCAGGCAAAGGGCAGGCACCAGCCCCAGGUCCAGGGUAGGGACAGAGCCAGACAGGGGGUUGGGGUGUCCUGGAGCAGUGUGCUGGCAGUGGAGGUCCUGCGGGUGCAGGCAUGGUGGAGGGUCGUGUUUGGCAGAGGUGUUUGUGCAUCGUGGGCACCCCAGUGGGAUUAGAUGCGGGGGUUGGCUCUUGGGUAUAAUGUUCCUGUUGUGCCCUUGUCCUGCCGGAGCAGCAGCCCGGACAGUGGGGACAUGCAGGGCACUGCAGCUCUGGGACAAACCAUCUGGAUCUUCCCCAGGGCAAGGACACGGGGGUGACGCUGCCGGGCACGGGGCUUGCUCUCUCCCUGUAUGCCUGGCGUGCCGCCGCAGGGUUGCUUGA